GGUUGAUCCUGCCAGUAGUCAUAUGCUUGUUUUAAGGAUUAAGCCAUGCAUGUGUAAGUAUACGGUAUUUUAACCGGAAACAGCGGACGGCUCCGUAUUAUCAGUCAUAAUCUACUUGAUUUUUUAAAUUCUAUUAGGAUAACAAUAGAAAAGCUAUUGCUAAUACUUGAUAAAAGAUUCUGAUUGGGAUGUAAAAAGUCUUGAAAGGAAUGUAUUUAUUAGCUUCCAAAAAUCAAUAAGUACAUAGCAAUAUGUACUUUUAAAUUGAUGAAUUAUAGUAACUAGACGAAGCG
rnacentral:rRNA from 1 species